CCAGAGUAAAGGCUCAGUAGAGGAAACACAGAAAAUCCAAGCUUACGCUGACACAUGGAACUAGAUAAAAAUGGAACCAUUUGAAGAAAAGGCGUCCAUCAUAAAUAAGGACUGUGUACAGAAACUCUGCUCACGAUGGGAAACCACCAUUUUCCCACAGAACUGGAAUGAGCAAAGAACUGAAGUCAGCCCUAGGGUUUUACUCUUUGUGGGAUAAUCUUCUUUUAAUAAUCUUUUUUUUUCCCUCCUUCCAAAAAUGGCACCAGUCCCUUGGAGAUAUUAAGGAUUUUCAAAAUCUUUGGUAGAAUCAGUGUGGCUCUAGAAUCCGUUGCUCUGGGACGCCAUCAAGUCUGUCAACAGAAAAUGGGAAAUGUCCACACCCAGGUGCCAAAGCAGAAGGUCUGCGCAGCGGGGUUCAGUGUGAGCUCCCCUCACAUGUGCCAACGUCUUCUGGGUUCAGGGCUGCUGUAGACUACGUGACAAACACGCCCAAACUCACCCAUUCGUCAAACAGCAUCCACGACCCUACCGUCACCUUUAUUCCUAAUACUAUUCCUGUGACCAACAUUUAUUCCUAAUACAGACCUGCUACUCAAACUAGUUUUGCAACCACCUUGACAUAUCCUCAGUGGUGGUUACUUUUACCUGUUUAAGUUCAAAGAAUGAGCAUUUUUGGAAGUGUCUAAGAGACAUUUGGGGUCAAGCCUGGUGCCUAACUAGACGAUCAAGCUGAGUAACACCAUCAUUUGGUUUUCAAAAUACCUGCUGCAUAUUAUCACAGGCAUGGAAAGUCCCCUUUCUCAUUAGGCUUUUCUGCAGGCACUUCCCCCAAAAUUAUCUUGAGCUGUAGCAGCAUGUAAGGAAACUGCACUUACAUUUCCCAUGAAAGUAUGGAUCACCCACGUUAGAACCACAGGGUCGGAGGAGUUUGCUAAAAUGCAGAUUUUGGAGCCCCAUCUGGACCUAUGAGGAAAUGAAACUGGAUCCACAGAUGGAGAACAACCAGGGAGGCUGACAAGGCCUCUGAUGAGACUAGAGGACAAGAGAAGCCACCGUGGGAGAAGCAGGAGGCCCAGUGCUCGAGGCAGCGGGAAGGAACACAGAAGACUCUGACCUGAAGAUGUGUUUCAAGACUAGAAAGGAGGCCUGCACAGUGGGAGCCCCUGGGUG
rnacentral:lncRNA from 1 species